UUCGCAAUGCCCGAAAGGGUGACGAUGCGACGCCGCGUGAGCGAAGAAGGCCCUAGGGUUGUAAAGCUCUGUCGAGGGUUAUGAAAUAUAGAUGGGUUAAUACCCCAUUUAUUUGACAAAAGCCCAAAAGGAAGCCACGGCUAACUCUGUGCCAGCAGCCGCGGUAAUACAGAGGUGGCGAGCGUUGUUCGGUAUUAUUGGGCGUAAAGAGCACGUAGGUGGUUUUGUAAGCCAGAUGUGAAAGCCUUCUGUUCAAAGGAAGAACGGCAUCUGAAACUGCAGAUCUUGAGUGUAGGAGGGGAGAGUGGAACUUCUGGUGGAGCGGUGAAAUGCGUAGAUAUCAGAAGGAACGUCGGCGGCGAAAGCGACUCUCUGGCCUAUUACUGACACUGAGGUGCGAAAGUUAGGGGAGCAAACGGGAUUAGAUACCCCGGUAGUCCUAACCGUAAACGAUGGGCACUAAGUAGAGGGGUUUU
rnacentral:rRNA from 1 species